rnacentral:rRNA from 1 species
GACGAACGCUGGCGGCGUGCCUAAUACAUGCAAGUCGAGCGGAAGUUGGAGAGCUUGCUCUUCAACUUUAGCGGCGGACGGGUGAGUAACACGUGGGCAACCUGCCCUGCAGAUCGGGAUAACUCCGGGAAACCGGUGCUAAUACCGAAUAGUUUUCGCCACCUCCUGGUGGCGUACGGAAAGACGGUUUCGGCUGUCACUGCAGGAUGGGCCCGCGGCGCAUUAGCUAGUUGGUGGGGUAACGGCCCACCAAGGCGACGAUGCGCAGCCGACCUGAGAGGGUGAUCGGCCACACUGGGACUGAGACACGGCCCAGACUCCUACGGGAGGCAGCAGUAGGGAAUCUUCCGCAAUGGACGAAAGUCUGACGGAGCAACGCCGCGUGAGUGACGAAGGUUUUCGGAUCGUAAAACUCUGUUGUGAGGGAAGAACAAGUACCACUUAACUACUGGUACCUUGACGGUACCUCACCAGAAAGCCACGGCUAACUACGUGCCAGCCGCCGCAGUAACAC